rnacentral:rRNA from 1 species
CAAUAGCGUAUAUUGAAGCUGUUGCGGUUAAAAAGCUCGUAGUUGGAUUUCUGUCAAGGACAACUGGUCCGCCCUCCGGGUGAGCACAUAGUUUGGUCUUGGCAUCUUGCUGGAAACUGUUGCUGCGCUUGGUUGUGUGGUGCAGCUUUCUGCACUUUCACUUUGAGGAAAUUGGAGUGUUUCAAGCAGGCACAUGCCUUUGGACACAGUAGCAUGGAAUAAUUAGAUUGGGCUUUUGCUCCAACUUGUUGGUUCCUGGAGCUGAGGUGAGAAUCAAUGGGGAUUGUUGGGGGCAUCCGAAUUUAGCCGUCAGAGGUGAAAUUCUUGGAUCUGCUAAAGACGGACAACUGCGAAAGCGUUUGCCCAGGAUGUUUUCAUUGA